GCGGGCGGGCGGUGGUGGCCCUGCCACCCGCGGCCCCGGCCUCGGCGGCGUACCCGGGCCUCCCUGCCGCCUUGGUAGCGCCGGUCCGCACUCGGCCUGACCCGGGACGUCACGCCGCCUGUCUGUUUUCUCAAUGAUAACUUGGCAGGAGAAGGGGGAAGCGGCCGGGUUUUUCCUGGGCUCGUUACCGGGGUGACAUUCAGUGCCAGGCGAGCCUCGCCGGUCACCGCCAAGUCCCACCUGGAAAAAAAAAAAAGAACCAACCAAAAAACCCCCACCAAACCUAACGGAAUAAAGCCCCCACCCCAGCUACCGAAAACGGGAGUGCCACCCCCCUCGGCAGCCCCGAUGCGGGUGGCCCAGGCUUGCCGGCGGCGGACGGGACAGCUCGCCCAGGGGACGCGGGGACACACACAGAGGCACGCAACACGCCGCCAACCGCCAGCAGGCCAUUUGCCGGGCCUCCGCGGGCCAGUUCUGGGGGAGGGGGGCACCACAGAGAUUUAAAAUCAAUUAAAAAAAAAAAGAGGGGGGGAGGGGAAGUCAGCAGCCGAAAUGCAGGCGGAAAGCAGGCGAGGAGCAACGCUGCUGGCGGUUGCAGCCGCCGCACCGCCGCUGCCGUGCAGGCCCGGCGCCGCGCCCACCCCCCAUCUGCUGCCAGCCUCUGCAGGGGAAGGCGGCGACGGGGGGCACCCCACAUGCACAGGCUGUUGUGGCACCAAGAUGAACUUGGGGUGCUCCCGGGGGCUGUGGGGCAGGAGUGAGACACGGCGGCAGUGUGACAGAUCGCUAAACACAAUGGCGUCCCUGCCGAGGAGAGCGCAAGAGUCCCGCAGACCCUGGCAGGAUGUAAUCACCGGUGUUUGAACCAUCUUGCCCUGCCUCUGCUGCUAGGGCUGUGGAGCAGCUAUUUCUGAAAGCUGGACGUUUUGAGGUAAAACAGACCGAGCUUAGUUCUACAGCAUGCCCGAAGUCAGUGUGACCAAUAUGCGCACUAUGAGCAACAUUAGUAGUGGUAAGGGCUGGCAAACCACCUGCCUUUCUCUUUCCUUCAUUUUUGUAAUUCAAGGUAAAAUCCCGAAUGUCUGUAUGAAUAGUCCCCUGCCAUUCAGGGGACUUUUUACAUGUUGCACUUAACGCACGUGCCCAAGAGUUUCCAGGAAUAGGCCUCGCUUUAAAAGAAACUACCCGUGGUAGCUCAUACUGAAACACCUCUGUAGCUGAAGAUCAGCUGUUACACACACACACACUGAUAACAUCGCACAACACCUUCACAGUGACCACAGAGCAUCCCAGCAGUGCCCAAAGUCAAGUUUACCUCUUCUGCGUUGCUGUUCUGCACCACUUCUUACAAUGUUACAACACAGUUCAAACACAUGCAACUAACUACUGCAGUAGAGCUCCUGAAGGGACACAUGUAGCAGGGCUGAAACUAAAUUAGUUUCUGCAACUGCCUCUGUUCGGUCUUAAUAUUAGCAUUAACGCAUUCAUUUUCCUCAUUUAAAUACAAUACAAGGGAAAAUUGCCUUUGCUUAAUAUUGCUACUAAUCAGGUUUUGCUAUUCCUGUUUUUAUAAGGGAGAAGUUAGUGCACACCUUUUGUGUUGCUGGAGGACUCUGCUCUCAUCAGCAUCUUAUUUUAAAUGGUGAAGUCAUCUGUUGCAACUGGAAAAAGGGAACAAAGGAAAUCCUCAGAAUAUAAUACUGUCCAAGCACCACUCUAAGGAGUCUUUGGUGGGUUUUGGUUUGGUUUGGGGAUGUUUGUUUUUUGUUUGUUUGUCUGUUGGUUGGUUUGGUUUGGUUAGUUGGUUUGUUUGGGGAUUUUUUUUGGUUGGUUGGUUUUGUUUUGGUUUUAACUCAAAAGCUACUCAAGAUGCUUUCUGGCAUGGCUAGAAAGAUAAGUUUGUUUCAUGUUCCUGUAUUGGAAUUGUUUUGAUCUGCAUUUAUGCUAAAGUCUUACCUGUCUUUACUGUCUCAGCAGAGCAUAGAGCUUACUGAAGCAGCUUUUUGGUAGACUUGAAAAGCACUGUGUACAGCUUGAUUGUUGUCUGUAUUUUGUCAUUCAUUUUUAAGUGAGGCUCUUCUGAUUGAUGUGGGGAAUUUUUUUGACAGGAUGAAGUGUAUGACAUAGCUACCUGAGAUGCCACUUGUAAUUAUUCCGUACCUCAGCUAACAGGAAGAUUUUUACUUGUGAUUGUUACACUUUUCAAAGUGAAUUAGUUAAUCAAAUUGCUAUUUUUGGAAUGCACUUAAAGGAACAUUAAAAUGUAUUAAUUUCAUUAAAAUAAAUGAGCAAAUAGGCAACAAAACAAGUAUUAGUCAAAUAAGCAACAUCUCACCAAUGGAGCCAGAUUCAGCCCUAGUGAAAUCAACCAACUUGCACAUGUCUACAGCAUGUUUAAUUUGGCUUCCACAGCCACACACCUGACACUUUUAUUUGGUUGUUGAAGGUGUGUGUAUUGAAAAUGUGUGUGAGCCAUGCUGCUUCUUCACUGUGAUGCACCUCUGAAGUUAAAUUCUCCUGUUUUCCAUUUAGCUCAGCUGCACAGUCCUGUCUCAUACGCAGUUUUUGGUGUUGAAUGUACACCACAGACAAGGGGAGGCAUUCCCAACCCCAGUGUUUAGUCUAAGGGACAUGACGUGUAUCUGAAGUGAGGGUACAAAGAAAGGGAUUUCAGCAAAGACUGUUCACAACCAAUUGCAUAUAUUCUUCAAUUAAUAGGCUGUACUGAAGUCUCUGCUACUAUCUUUCAUUACUGCUGUUACUCAUGCCAGUGAGGGUAGAGGAAAGGUUGGUACGUCUAUAAUCACACAUUAAUUUGCUAUGUAGAUAUAUCCUAAGAGCCUCUCAGCUCAAGGAAAUUAUGCUGAAAUAAGGUCAGAUGUGAAUGUAAAGCAGAACUGUGUUCAGAUAUCUUAUUCAUUCUGGAAUGACCAAGUUGUUUCCUGGUUUCACUUAAUCCACUUUCAAAGUGGAUUAAGAUAAUUCAAGAAAGUGAAUUCUGAUGCUGGCAUGAGAUUUGUCUACACAUGGUUUUAGUUGAAUAUAAUUACUGCAGUGUACCUAAGUAAGUGUUUUGAAGUAAUUUGAUGUGUAGACAAAUCCAAAGUCCCACAGGUGAAAACAAACAUCUAGUCUUUCUGUAUAACGUGAGGUUAACUUAGCCUAAUGUUUGUCCUACUUCUUCUCUUGUGAAGCAUAUUUAAUUCAUUAAACCACAACAGCUACAUGUUUAUGGUCAAUUUCAGGACAGCAAUGCCACACACACUCCACUAAAAGAAACAAUGUAACCAGGUUAUACUCUGAGUACUCCUCAACUGCCUUAGAGUGGACAGUAGUUUCUUUACUGGAUGAGAUAUCUGGUUUUCAACCAUACAAAUUCUGAGUAAGUUUUAUAAACAAGAGGGAAACAAACACCAAAGUUCUUCUCUGUCUUCUUUAAACUCUCAUGAUCCAUUUGAACUUUGUCUGUGUACCAUUCAAAGCAAUAGCACCCAUGCUAAUUCAGCAAUAUUAGUUCCUGAGUAAGAAACCUCUCAGAUUUGCACAGAAGGGUUUGUAGAACAACGGGGCCUUCAGAAGGCACUUUAAAAACAGGGAGCUAAUUUAUAGUUUGCUUUCCAAGAUCCAAGUUAGUAAGAACCUCCCUGAAACUCAGGCAGCUACAGUGCUUUGAAUCAAGUGUGUUGUAUCACUACUGGCCUACAAGAAACUUACCAAAAUGAUCAAAAGACACAAUUUUCUUUGCAGCUUUAUGCCAAGCAGAAAGUUUGUCAAAUGUCAUUUGGUCUCUUUCUGUGCUACAGAUCUCCCUUAGAAGAGAGGUGACUCUGUCAGGAAUUAAUACUCCUAAACUUUAAGGUUAUUUGUUGGGGAUUCUUUUAGGACAAAACACACAACUAGAUGAGAGAGAAAUUAUGUAAGCUCAGCUAGUGAAGCAGUCAGGUUUUCUGAAAGAACCACAAAACAUAAAAGCUAGAUGGUCCAAACUGCUGACCCUUUAAACACUAACAAUGGAGAAGCCAGUAACAGCUCUAUAGCAAAAAAAUACCUGACUCCUACUUUGUGGGAAAGGCAGAGAGUACCCAGAGGACUUUCCUUGUGCAGAUGAAGUAUUCUUACUACUCCAUGGAACAUGGCAGUGAUGCCUCAUGUAGCAUUCUCAUCCCUAAGCUUGAUUUGUGAUUAUGAGCAUGGUUUUGCUCUCCUGUGCUGGUCUGGGUUGAGGGUAUAGGGAAUGGAUUUCAUACAAGUCUUAUAAGUCUCUUUCACAUCAACCUGCCUAUUUUAAGAAUGACAAAAAAAGUUAAAACAUGGAUAAACAUCAAACAAAAAACCAUGUUCUUGAAUUCUGCCAUGCUGGGUAACUUUGACCAUGGGUUUAGACUUGAUAUUAAAGUUCAAACUAGACUAGAUUAGAAAGCAGUGAUUGUUUUGGACCUCAGAAAAACAUGCUUCUUCUGAAAUCCCACUCUUGUAAACAGUUCGAAUAGAUUGUUUUAUACUCUGCUUCCACUGAGAGGUCUCUGAACAUUGGAGGCACCUGCAGUGGUAGGAUAUCCCAGGUUUUCCCCACUCCUGGCAUUACAGGGGAAUUACUCAUCCAGUGAGAAAGGUGUUUUUAAAUGUCUGAGAUGAUGGCACAACAGGCACAAGAGGAAGUCUCAGCACACAGCCAAUGCAAUGAAAUGAAGGAUCCUCUAUGGGAAUUGGUUACUAGUGCCAGUGUUUUAUAUUUGUCAUAACAACCACUGUCUGUUUUGUUUUUUGUUCUAACAAUGUGAAUUAUGCAUUAAACAUUAAUACAAGCAA